rnacentral:sRNA from 1 species
UUUUAUGCGGGAUUAAGCUUGCUGCUGCGUGACAACGGAGGGCUAGGAAAAGGCGCAGUGGAGCCCGGAGCUGUCACCUCUGACUUCACGCAGCUUCCGUUCUCCUGGUGACGUGGCCUACAGGACCCGCCCCGGUGGUCAGCUGCCGCGCUGUUGCUAGGCAACAGCGUCCGAGCUCAGAUCAGCGUGGGGCGGAGGAGAAGUGGGAUUUGGAAGCUCAGGGGCACAGGGGCCCAGGGGCACAGGCCCACGACUGCAGUGGGAUGGACCAGUACUGCAUCCUGGGCCGCAUCGGGGAGGGCGCCCACGGCAUCGUCUUCAAGGCCAAGCACGUGGAGACUGGCGAGAUAGUUGCCCUCAAGAAGGUGGCCCUAAGGCGGUUGGAGGACGGCAUCCCUAACCAGGCCCUGCGGGAGAUUAAGGCUCUGCAGGAGAUGGAGGACAAUCAGUAUGUGGUGCAACUGAAGGCUGUGUUCCCACAUAGUGCAGGCUUUGUGCUGGCCUUUGAGUUCAUGCUGUCGGAUCUGGCCGAGGUGGUGCGCCAUGCCCAGAGGCCACUAGCCCAGGCACAGGUCAAGAGCUACCUGCAGAUGCUGCUCAAGGGCGUCUCCUUCUGCCAUGCCAACAACAUUGUACAUCGGGACCUGAAACCUGCCAACCUACUCAUCAGCGCCUCAGGCCAGCUCAAGAUAGCGGACUUUGGCCUGGCUCGAGUGUUUUCCCCAGACGGCAGCCGCCUCUACACACACCAGGUGGCCACCAGGUAGGGCGGGCCAGAUCCCUUCCAGUCCUCUCCAUGGGGAAGAGAUGCUUCUGGGCCUUUUCUCCAGACAUUGCUUGUGGAGCUGGGGUCACCUCCCCAGGCAUCCUUUUCUCAGCCCAGUGCCUACCAGCCCUCUUCCUUGCAGGUGGUACCGAGCCCCCGAGCUCCUGUAUGGUGCCCGCCAGUAUGACCAGGGCGUCGAUCUGUGGGCCGUGGGCUGCAUCAUGGGGGAGCUGUUGAAUGGGUCCCCCCUUUUCCCGGGCAAGAACGACAUUGAACAGCUUUGCUAUGUGCUUCGCAUCUUGGGCACCCCAAACCCUCAAGUCUGGCCGGAGCUCACUGAGCUGCCGGACUACAACAAGAUCUCCUUUAAGGAGCAGGCGCCCGUGCCCCUGGAGGAGGUGCUGCCCGACGCCUCUCCCCAGGCAUUGGAUCUGCUGGGUCAAUUCCUCCUCUACCCUCCUCGCCAGCGCAUCGCAGCUUCCAAGGCUCUCCUCCAUCAGUACUUCUUCACAGCUCCCCUGCCUGCCCAUCCAUCUGAGCUGCCGAUUCCUCAGCGUCUAGGGGUACCUGCCCCCAAGGCCCAUCCAGGGCCCCCCCGCAUCCAUGACUUCUAUGUGGACCGGCCUCUUGAGGAGUCGCUGUUGAACCCAGAGCUGAUUCGGCCCUUCAUCCUGGAGGGGUGAGAAGUUGGCCCUGGUCCUGUCUGCCUGCUCCUCAGGACCACUCAGUCCACCUGUUCCUCUGCCGCCUGCCUAGCUUCACCCUCCAAGGCCUCCCCAUGGCCACACUGGGCCCACACCACACUCCGCCCCUUAGCCCUUGCAAUGGUUGGUCUCGAGGCAGAGGUCAUGUUCCCAGCCAAGAGUAUGAGAACAUCCAGUUGAGCAGAGGAGAUUGGCUCUGCCUUAUGUCUGUUCCUCCUUCAUUUCUCUCAAGGGAAAUGGCUAAGGUGGCAUUGUCUCAUGGCUCUCGUUUUUGGGGGUCAUG